rnacentral:rRNA from 1 species
GCUACGCCACAAAUAAACACCUACACCAAACAAUCGCCAGAGUACUACAAGCAGCAGCCAAAAACUCAAAGGACUUGGCGGUACCCCAAACCCACCCAGAGGAGCCUGUUCUAUAAUCGAUACUACCCGUUAAACCUCACCAUUUUUUGUACAAUCAGUCUAUAUACCACCGUCGCCAGUUGACCUCUUGAGAGAAAGCACGUCAACAAAAUAAACACAUUUUAAAACGUCAGGUCAAGGUGUAGCAAAUGAAAUGGGAAGAAAUGGGCUACACUUUCUUUUUAAGAAGACACGAAAUGAAAUAUGAAAACUUUUCACGAAGGAGGAUUUGGCAGUAAACAGGAACCACAAAGUCCUAUUUAAA